rnacentral:rRNA from 1 species
AAACGGGUGCGGAACACGUACAGAACCUACCUUACCUGGGGCAUAGCCCGGAGAAAUCCGGAUUAACUCCCCAUAACAUAUAUGAGUGGCAUCACUUGAAUAUUAAAAAUUUAUUGGGUAAAGAUGGCUGUGCGUCCCAUUAGCUAGUUGGUAGGGUAACGGCCUACCAAGGCAACGAUGGGUAGCUGGUGUGAGAGCACGACCAGCCACACGGGCACUGAGACACGGGCCCG